ACGGAGGGUGCAAACGUUGCUCGGAAUCAUUGGGCGUAAAGCGCACGUAGGUGGCCUGUUAAGUCGGGUGUGAAAUCCCUGGGCUCAACCCAGGAAGUGCACUCGAAACUGGCAGGCUUGAGUACUGAAGAGGGUCGCGGAAUUCCCGGUGUAGAGGUGAAAUUCGUAGAUAUCGGGAGGAACACCAGUGGCGAAGGCGGCGACCUGGGCAGAUACUGACACUGAGGUGCGAAAGCUAGGGGAGCAAACAGGA
rnacentral:rRNA from 1 species